GAUGAACGCUGGCGGCGUGCUUAACACAUGCAAGUCGAACGGUGAAGCUCCAGCUUGCUGGCGUGGAUCAGUGGCGAACGGGUGAGUAACACGUGAGCAACCUGCCCCUGACUCUGGGAUAACAGCCGGAAACGGCUGCUAAUACCGGAUAUGCACCAUGAACGCAUGUUCUGUGGUGGGAAAGAUUUUUCGGUUGGGGAUGGGCUCGCGGCCUAUCAGCUUGUUGGUGAGGUAAUGGCUCACCAAGGCGUCGACGGGUAGCCGGCCUGAGAUGGUGACCGGCCACACUGGGACUGAGACACGGCCCAGACUCCUACGGGAGGCAGCAGUGGGGAAUAUUGCACAAUGGGCGAAAGCCUGAUGCAGCAACGCCGCGUGAGGGAUGACGGCCUUCGGGUUGUAAACCUCUUUUAGCAGGGAAGAAGCGAGAGUGACGGUACCUGCAGAAAAAGCGCCGGCUAACUACGUG
rnacentral:rRNA from 1 species